CCUACGGGAGGCAGCAGUGAGGAAUAUUGGUCAAUGGGCGCGAGCCUGAACCAGCCAAGACGCGUGAGGGUGGACGGCCCUACGGGUUGUAAACCUCUUUUGCCGGGGAGCAACGGGCGCCACGGGUGGCGCCACUAGGAGUACCCGGAGAAAAAGCAUGGGCUAACUCCGUGCCAGCAGCCGCGGUAAUACGGGGGAUGCGAGCUUUAUCCGGUUUUAUUGGGUUUAAAGGGUGCGUAGGCGGAUCGUUAAGUCAGUGGUCAAAUUGAGGGGCUCACCCCCUUACGGCCAUUGAAACUGGCGCUCUUGAGUGGAAGAGAAGUAUGCGGAAUGCGUGGUGUAGCGGUGAAAUGCAUAGAUAUCACGCAGAACCCCGAUUGCGAAGGCAGCAUGCCGGCUUCCGACUGACGCUGAAGCACGAAAGCGUGGGGAUCGAACAGGAUUAGAUACCCUUGUAGUC
rnacentral:rRNA from 1 species